UACGACCAUAUCAUGUUGAAACAUCGAUUCUCCUACGAUCACCGAAGUUAAGCAACGUCGAGCCUGCUCAGUACCUAGAUGGGAGACAGCUUGGGAAUACCGGGUGCUGUAA